UUUAUGUAGAAAGUUGUAAUAAUAUGCUACGUACCUGACUCAAUGCAACUCGUCGAUGAUGAGAUUUCGCUGAGACGAGGACGGCGUCGAGAAUGAUGGUCUCCGUUCCGACUCGAAUAUCACAGAUCCAGGUGGGAGAAGAAUAAGUUGAGAGAUUAAGCAGGGUUUAAGGAAGGAUAAGAAGUAGAAGAAAAGAUGAAGGAGAAAGAAGAAGUAGGAGGGACGAGAUGAGUUGAGAAGGAAAUCAAUAUCAAUAUUAUUUAUAAUCGACCUAGGUUACACCUGCAUCUUUUAUUACCCUGUCUAUUACUAAAAACAAAGAAUAUGAACUCCUAUGUGCUAU
rnacentral:lncRNA from 1 species